AUUAUCCAUACGACGCCGGUGACGGUCGAGCCGCUCAAGACGCUUGCGCUGGAGCUGAUGCCGGAUCUGGAGCUGUUCAAUCUGGUGGACGAUUC
rnacentral:tRNA from 2 species